CCCAGACUCCUACGGGAGGCAGCAGUGAGGAAUAUUGGUCAAUGGGCGGAAGCCUGAACCAGCCAAGUCGCGUGAGGGAUUAAGGCCCUAUGGGUCGUAAACCUCUUUUGUCAGGGAGCAAUGGCGUCCACGUGUGGGCGUAUGGAGAGUGCCUGAAGAAAAAGCAUCGGCUAACUCCGUGCCAGCAGCCGCGGUAAUACGGAGGAUGCGAGCGUUAUCCGGAUUUAUUGGGUUUAAAGGGUGCGUAGGCGGAAUGCCAAGUCAGCGGUAAAAUCGCGGGGCUCAACCUCGCUCCGCCGUUGAAACUGGCGUUCUUGAGUGGGCGAGAAGUACGCGGAAUGCGUGGUGUAGCGGUGAAAUGCAUAGAUAUCACGCAGAACUCCGAUUGCGAAGGCAGCGUACCGGCGCCCAACUGACGCUCAUGCACGAAAGCGUGGGUAUCGAACAGGAUUAGAUACCCGUGUAGA
rnacentral:rRNA from 1 species